UACGUAGGGUGCGAGCGUUAAUCGGAAUUACUGGGCGUAAAGCGUGCGCAGGCGGUUUUGUAAGACCGAUGUGAAAUCCCCGGGCUCAACCUGGGAACUGCAUUGGUGACUGCAAGGCUUGAGUGUGUCAGAGGGAGUUGGAAUUCCGCGUGUAGCAGUGAAAUGCGUAGAUAUGCGGAGGAACACCGAUGGCGAAGGCCGCCUCCUGGGAUAACACUGACGCUCAUGCACGAAAGCGUGGGGCGCAAUCAGG
rnacentral:rRNA from 1 species